UGGGGUUUACAAGGGGUGUGCAGGACAGGCACAGCACAGCUGUGGCCCAACAGGCCAGAGGAUUUUGUACUCAAAACCAGCGUCUUUUGAAGGGAUCUUUUUAUUUCUAAUUUUAGGAAAUGCAACACAGCACCCCUGACACAGCUAGUUUGCACAUGCAUAUGCAGAGAAACUGGACCCCAGCCCCUGGGCUGGCUAGGGCAGCAUGGUCAGUGGCAGCUGGUGGCUGUGUCAGACAUGAUCAGGGACACGUUACACAGGGUAGGUUUACCGGUGGACUUGUCCACGGUCCUCUCGGUCACCAUGUACGGGAGGGCCUGGUGGCUCACGAUGCAGGUGAAGGUCUCCCCCGAGAGCCAGUCCUCCACGGUCACUGUCAGCAGGCUGUGGGUGUAGUAGAGGCCUGGGGCCUGGGGCUCAGGCAUCGGGGCACUGGUCACGUACUUGUCCGAAGACACAGACUGCCCUCUUUGCAGCCACUGCACAAAGACGUCUGCAGGUGCAAAUCCCUUCACCAGGCAGGUGACAGUGGCUGCCUCCCCCAGGACCAGCUGCUCCCGAGCUGGUGGCAGCACAUACACAGCAGGCGGGUGCUGGGCCUCUCCUGUGGGCAGAAAGGAGGUAGUGAGCACAGGGCAGGCAGGGACAGGUGGGAUCCAGGGAGUGGGGUGGGGGCUGAGGCUACCUUGGGGCUUGGAGACGGUCUUCUUCAAUGGGAAGGGCAGGUCCUGAUGGGUCACUGUGCACGAGAAGCUGUCCCCAGACUCCCAGUCCUCUGCACAGAUGCUGGCCUCCCCCGUGGCACUGAGGGUGCCAUUGGCAUGGCUCUGGGAGACCUUGAUGCUGGUUGGCAGGUCCUCACCAUUCUGGCGGGCCCAGGAGAUGUUGAGUCCUCCACGGUGGCUCAGGUCAGUGACCAGGCAGGUCAGCUUGGCAGACUUGGUGAGGAAGGUGCCAGCAAAGGAGGGUGGGAUGGGGAAGACUCUGAUGUCUGUGGGCGGAGGUGCUGUGGAGAGAAGGCUGCUGUGUGUGGUGUUGGAUGUGAAGUCAGGGAAAGGUACAGCCCGCUGGGAGCAGCCCUGCCCCAGUGA
rnacentral:lncRNA from 1 species